GAUGAACGCUGGCGGCGUGCCUAAUACAUGCGAGUCGAGCGAACAGAUGAGGAGCUUGCUCCUCUGACGUUAGCGGCGGACGGGUGAGUAACACGUGGAUAACCUACCUAUAAGACUGGGAUAACUUCGGGAAACCGGAGCUAAUACCGGAUAAUAUAUUGAACCGCAUGGUUCAAUAGUGAAAGACGGUUUUGCUGUCACUUAUAGAUGGAUCCGCGCCGCAUUAGCUAGUUGGUAAGGUAACGGCUUACCAAGGCAACGAUGCGUAGCCGACCUGAGAGGGUGAUCGGCCACAUUGGAACUGAGACACGGUCCAGACUCCUACGGGAGGCAGCAGUAGGGAAUCUUCCGCAAUGGGCGAAAGCCUGACGGAGCAACGCCGCGUGAGUGAUGAAGGUCUUCGGAUCGUAAAACUCUGUUAUUAGGGAAGAACAAAUGUGUAAGUAACUAUGCACGUCUUGACGGUACCUAAUCAGAAAGCCACGGCUAACUACGUG
rnacentral:rRNA from 1 species